AGAGUUUGAUCCUGGCUCAGGACGAACGCUGGCGGCGCGCUUAACACAUGCAAGUCGAGCGAGAACCGAAGCCUUCGGGCUUCGGGGAAAGCGGCGAACGGGUGAGUAACACGUGGGUAACCCACCCUUGGUACUGGGAUAGCCCGGGGAAACCCGGAUUAAUACCGGAUGGCCCAACAGCUCUUCGGGGCGGUUGGAAAAGGUAGCUUCGGCCUCCGACCAAGGACGGGCCCGCGGCGGAUUAGCUUGUUGGUGGGGUAACGGCCUACCAAGGCGACGAUCCGUAGCUGGUCUGAGAGGACGAUCAGCCACACUGGGACUGAGACACGGCCCAGACUCCUACGGGAGGCAGCAGUGGGGAAUCUUGCGCAAUGGGCGAAAGCCUGACGCAGCGACGCCGCGUGGGGGAAGAAGGCUUUCGGGUUGUAAACCCCUUUCAGGAAGGACGAAGCCACUCGGAUUAAUAGCCCAGAGGGUGACGGUACUUCCAGAAGAAGCCCCGGCUAACUACGUGCCAGCCGCCGCGGUAAUUC
rnacentral:rRNA from 1 species